rnacentral:rRNA from 1 species
GGUGACCUCGGAUCAGGUAGRAMUACCCGCUGAACUUAAGCA